UACAGAGGUCUCAAGCGUUGUUCGGAUUCAUUGGGCGUAAAGGGUUUGUAGGCGGCGCUGUUAGUCGGGUGUGAAAUCCCUCGGCUCAACCGAGGAAUUGCGCCCGAUACUGCAGUGCUUGAGGGAGACAGAGGUAAGCGGAACUGAUGGUGGAGCGGUGAAAUGCGUAGAUAUCAUCAGGAACACCGGUGGCGAAAGCGGCUUACUGGGUCUCUUCUGACGCUGAGAAACGAAAGCCAGGGGAGCGAAGGGG
rnacentral:rRNA from 1 species